CUAAUGGGCCUGGAGUUAGAAUUCCUCUACUUCUGCCAGCCUCAGAGAAGGUGCAACUUUCCCCUCCAAGGACCCAUUAAUCUUCUUCAACUCUGGCCUGGAGAGACCAUCUCUGGGGAUAAAAGGGGAAUUGAGUCUCCAUGGCCAAUUCACUCCAUGACCUCC
rnacentral:sRNA from 1 species